GUGAAAAAAAAAAAAAAAAAAAAAAAAAAAAAAAAA
rnacentral:ribozyme from 13 species